rnacentral:lncRNA from 1 species
CUCCCCUCUUACUGUCUGGGGUUGGGUUUUAAUGUGUUGUAUGUUUACGUGGUUCAGAACUGAAGAUGACAGAGAGCUGUAAAGCAGGUUGCAAAAUACCCGGGAAGUUCUAGCACUUACUCCAUGCCUUCUACAUACCUCCCACAGGUAGCCAUUUUCAUAAGUUGUCUGUUUCCUGCAUUUCUUUAUGCAAAUACACGGGAAAUCCCACGUAAGAUUCCGACUCCCUACCCUCUCUUCACAGAAAGAUAAAGAUCCUUUGAGGGGGAAGCUAAUGUCCUUCGAAUCAUCAGUAAAACGGUUUCACUUGGGAGCUAGUAGGUAAGUGUAAGAGGGCAGAGGUGUUAACACACACCCCAGCAACUGGGGGUAGGGAGGUUGGAGACACGUGCAUUCCUUGGGCUCACUGGCCAGAUGGUCA